UGGAGCUUUUUUUUUUGUUUGUCGCACAGGAAUGGUGUCAGUGGGUCUUUAGCAAAGAUAGUCCACACUGUGGCAUGUGUGUGUGUGUGUGUUAGCAGGACUGAAUCAGCAGGAAUGAUUUGAGCUUUAUUGACUUUGACUCAGAGUGUAUGCUCAUGUUGGAGCGGAAAGGAUCUAAGAGUAAGGACACAGAUGUAACGUCAGAGGAGGAGAACAUGGUAGACCCACUCUAGGGGCCAGAGGACUGCCCCCCUCUCUCAGAAAAAAAGAAAAAAAUGGGAAACGGUAUCCAGAAGAAGAAGAAGACAGAAAAAAGCUCAUCUUCCUCUCCAUCCUCAUGCCUGAGUCCCAAUAGGGAGAAACCUAAAAGCGUCUGGCUGUUUGGACACGCGGACAAACUGACAACAGCUGGUCCCAAAGUGAAUGAAGACCAGAAGAGGUUGACAGUCCAUUAUACAGCCUCGCAGCACUACCAGGAGAAUGUUUUCAUUGAGGGCAGCAGGCCUCAGUACUUGGAAGACCUGCACACUGAAGCUCAAGAGGGACUCAAGAUACAACAGCAGGAAGGUAAGACACAUUCAUUUGAUUCUUGUUAUCAAUAUGACAUAACAUAACAUUUGGUU
rnacentral:lncRNA from 1 species